rnacentral:rRNA from 1 species
GACGAACGCUGGCGGCGUGCCUAAUACAUGCAAGUAGAACGCUGAAGAGAGGAGCUUGCUCUUCUUGGAUGAGUUGCGAACGGGUGAGUAACGCGUAGGUAACCUGCCUGGUAGCGGGGGAUAACUAUUGGAAACGAUAGCUAAUACCGCAUAAAAUGGAUUAUCGCAUGAUAAUCGAUUGAAAGGUGCAAAUGCAUCACUACCAGAUGGACCUGCGUUGUAUUAGCUAGUUGGUGGGGUAACGGCUCACCAAGACGACGAUACAUAGCCGACCUGAGAGGGUGAUCGGCCACACUGGGACUGAGACACGGCCCAGACUCCUACGGGAGGCAGCAGUAGGGAAUCUUCGGCAAUGGACGGAAGUCUGACCGAGCAACGCCGCGUGAGUGAAGAAGGUUUUCGGAUCGUAAAGCUCUGUUGUAAGAGAAGAACGAGUGUGAGAGUGGAAA